GAUGAACGCUGGCGGCGUGCCUAAUACAUGCAAGUCGAGCGAACAGACGAGGAGCUUGCUCCUCUGACGUUAGCGGCGGACGGGUGAGUAACACGUGGAUAACCUACCUAUAAGACUGGGAUAACUUCGGGAAACCGGCGCUAAUACCGGAUAAUAUAUUGAACCGCAUGGUUCAAUAGUGAAAGACGGUUUUGCUGUCACUUCUAGAUGGAUCCGCGCGGCAUUAGCUAGUUGGUAAGGUAACGGCUUACCAAGGCAACGAUGCGUAGCCGACCUGAGAGGGUGAUCGGCCACACUGGAACUGAGACACGGUCCAGACUACUACGGGAGGCAGCAGUAGGGAAUCUUCCGCAAUGGGCGGAAGCCUGACGGAGCAACGCCGCGUGUGUGAUGAAGGUCUUCGGAUCGUAAAACUCUGUUAUUAGGGAAGAACAAAUGUGUAAGUAACUAUGCACGUCUUGACGGUACCUAAUCAGAAAGCCACGGCUAACUACGUG
rnacentral:rRNA from 1 species